CCUACGGGUGGCAGCAGUGAGGAAUAUUGGUCAAUGGACGAGAGUCUGAACCAGCCAAGUAGCGUGAAGGAUGACUGCCCUAUGGGUUGUAAACUUCUUUUAUAUGGGAAUAAAACGUUCCAAGUGUGGGAUUUUGUAUGUACCAUAUGAAUAAGGAUCGGCUAACUCUGUGCCAGCAGCCGCGGUAAUACGGAGGAUCCGAGCGUUAUCCGGAUUUAUUGGGUUUAAAGGGAGCGUAGGUGGAUUGUUAAGUCAGUUGUGAAAGUUUGCGGCUCAACCGUAAAAUUGCAGUUGAAACUGGCAGUCUUGAGUACAGUAGAGGUGGGCGGAAUUCGUGGUGUAGCGGUGAAAUGCUUAGAUAUCACGAAGAACUCCGAUUGCGAAGGCAGUUCACUGGACUGCAACUGACACUGAGGCUCGAAAGUGUGGGUAUCAAACAGGAUUAGAUACCCCUGUAGUC
rnacentral:rRNA from 1 species